GACGAACGCUGGCGGCGUGCUUAACACAUGCAAGUCGAACGGUGAAGCGCCUUCCUUUUUGGUGGGUGUGGAUGAGUGGCGAACGGGUGAGUAACACGUGAGUAACCUGCCCCCUUCUUCUGGAUAACCGCAUGAAAGUGUGGCUAAUACGGGAUAUUCUGGGUCUGUCGCAUGAUGGGUCUGGGAAAGAUAUUGUUUCGGUGGGGGAUGGGCUCGCGGCCUAUCAGCUUGUUGGUGGGGUGAUGGCCUACCAAGGCGGUGACGGGUAGCCGGCCUGAGAGGGUGGACGGUCACACUGGGACUGAGACACGGCACAGACUCCUACGGGAGGCAGCAGUGGGGAAUAUUGCACAAUGGGCGCAAGCCUGAUGCAGCGACGCCGCGUGAGGGAUGGAGGCCUUCGGGUUGUGAACCUCUUUAGCCAGUGAAGCAGGCCUGCCUCGUUUGUGGGUGGGUUGACGGUAGCUGGAUAAGAAGCGCCGGCUAACUACGUG
rnacentral:rRNA from 1 species